GACGAGAGAGUGCCAGAGAGAGAGAGAGACAGUGACAGAGAGAAGAGAGAGACAGAAAGACAGUGACAGAGAGAAGAGAGAGACAGAAAGACAGUGACAGAGAGAAGAGAGAGAGAGAGACAGGAGAGAGGGGAGAGAGAAGACAGAGAGAGAGAGAGAGAGAGAGAGACAGUGACAGAGAGAAGAGAGAGAGAGAAGGAAGAAAAGAGGGGGAGAGAGAGCGAGCGAGCGAGCGAGCGAGCGAAAGAGAGUUUGCGGCCCCACCGCCCAGUCCCCGAGGGAUCUAGCGUCUGGGCCGGGCAGGGCUCGGGUUUGGGCUCACCUUCCUUUCAGCAAAAAGCAAGUUUCGGCCCCUUCUCUUCUCGCCAGCCCAACAGAAGUCUUCCCCACAGGGCACAACUAUUAUGAGGAUCAACACACCCAGCUAAAACAGCUCAACUUCCUCAUCACACAACACAGUUCUGGCCAGUUAGACACACGUCCCCGGAAAGGGCAUCUCCAGGAGAAUAAAAAGGCCAAGCCACUUUUUGAAGAAAGUCUUUGUCCCUACCCCCUUUUUCUACCUGGAAGUCAGACUCAGGCCUGGAGUGUAGCGGCCGCCUUGGUACCUGGAAGCAACAAUCAUGGCCGGGAGACCUUACACCUGGCAUGGUAGAGCAGACGCAGGAGGGGCCGCCUGGUGAAUAGCCUGGCCAACAGCCCCAAACUGCUACCCCUUAAAUUCUGGAUUUCAGGUGACUGCUGUAACUUGAAGCAAGAAAAGUGAAACUACAGAAAAGGGAGGACCACUGGACGGCUGCUUUCAUUCUACGCCCACUUUUUAGAGUGCAUUCCCACAAUAAGCACUCUAACAAUGUAAACCAGGGGCCAAGGGAUGCACCUUCCACUCUACUUCCUUCCCCAGAAAAGACCACCUUGGUAAAUACAGAAUGGCAAACGGUUAAGUGAAACACUGUAUAGCUUUUGGCCCUAUACUU
rnacentral:lncRNA from 1 species